GCAUGAAAUGAUGGUAGUCAUUUUUGGGACUGACUUGAAAUAAAGAGAAUACUCUUUGCUGGUCACGG